AGCUCAACGGUUAGAGCGGCGGUCUUAUAAGCCGUGUGUAAUAGGUUCAACUCCUAUAGGGA
rnacentral:tRNA from 1 species